UCUCUUCUUCUCCACCAUCCUGCCUUCCUCAUCUCGUCGGCAGCCCGGUUGUCUCCUCUGCCUAAGCUAUGCAGGGAAUUCACUUUGAAUCCUAAAUACUCACAUUUUUCAUCUUCUUUCUUUCUUUCUUUCUUUCUUUCUUUCUUUCCAAGCAUCGCUUCUAUCUUCAGACCAUGUUCUGUGAAUGACUAGGGUAGUGGGGAUCCUUUUGAGGCUUUGAAGCUAGAAAUCACUAGAGAUCGCCAAUAGGGGAAGCUGCUUUUCACAAGCCACUUAGUGGGAAAUAUUACUUGGUUGAUGCUGGGUACGCAACGAGGCCAGAUUUUAUUUCUCCCUAUAGAGGUGUUAGAUGCCAUCUUAAAGAAUUUGGCUCACGGACACCAGCAAACCAUAAAGAACUAUUAAACCUUCGUCAUUCAUCUGCCCGUACCACCAUUGAACGAGCUUUUGGAUCCCUCAAGGGACGCUUCAAAAUAUUCGAAUCAAGACCAUUCUUUCCAUUCAAAACUCAAGCCGAACUUGUAUUAGCUACAUGUAUUUUGCAUAAUUAUAUUAUAAGUGGAGGAGAAGAUGUUUUAAUACCUUAUGAAGAAGAAUGGACAGCACAACGGGCACCAUCAGAAAGCAACAUAAGAGAACAAAGGGAAGAGACCCAAGAAUGGGUGGCAUGUAGAGAACGGAUUGCACGUGAUAUGUGGGCUAACAAGUAGAUAAUGGAUAAUUGUUUUAUUUUUAUUUUUGUUUUUGUUUUAUUUGAACAAUUGUGCUUCCUUGUAUAUCAUAAACAAUGAUGAUACUUUUUGCU